ACUUGUUUCAUAUGGCAUGACCAUGUUCCAAGUACUGUUUAAACAAUUUAAGUAUAUUAUUUACUUCAGUUCUCCCAUAACCCUAUCUCUGUUUUAUAAAUUAGGAUAAUGAGGCGAAUGGAGUUAACGUUAAGUUUUCCAAAGUCAUACAUCAAACAGGUGGUAGAGCCAGGAUUUGAACUUGGCAGUCAGUCCUGGAGUGUGGAUUCCUCUUCUCUAUAAUCUUUUGACACUUGGGGCUGACAUCGGGGUCAAUAUUUGACGUGUAAUUAUUUACUGAUCUGUCGAUUCAGAGAGAAAAAUUUGAACUGGUAGGAAAUACAAUGUACUUCUCAAGUCUUAUAUUCAGCAUCCAGAAGAAUUAAUGCCAUUCUAAAGUGCUGAGUGAGUGAAGAGUGGUUUCCAGAAUAUCUUUAGCUCCUUUUGGAGAACAAAGGUCCUGAAAUAGUAAGACAAUUUUUGAAAUUGGCUUACAUCCUUAUACCAUCAUAUCCAUGUAUGUUUUUGAUAGUUUAUUAAUCUAGAAGGUAGGGGCCUGAAGAGAAUUUUUGAUAGUUUGAGACAUGAGUUUAUUUAAAGUACAUCAAAUCUUGUAAAACAGAGCCAUAGAGUCUUAGGACCAGAAGGAAUAUUGUCUUCCCUAAUGUUCUUAUCUGGUAGAACUUCUUCAAUCAAAAUUUAAAACCUCAAUAAGGUGUCAUUAUUAUAAUGUUAUCUUCAUCUUUUUUUUGCUCUCAUGAAAUUUAAUCAUGACUUUAACACCUAAUUUUACAAUUCUCAAUACACUGCAUUAGUUCUGUUAUUGAAUGUAUGAUUACAAGAAAAAUUUCUGGCUGGUAUAAGCCUCAUUCCAGUUUUCAUAAAACCAAGUGAUGUCGCCAUUCCACAGCUUCACGCUUCUGACUACGCAUCGUGAAGGCAGAAUUUGGAGUUCAGAGGCUGAGGUCCACACCCUGGUUUUCCUAGUGCUGUAGGUCACAAUGCUUAAAUACCACACCCUUUAGCUACCUCACGGGAAAGACCACUUGCGUGUCACCUGCCUGGGUCUGGCAGAAGGAGGCUCAAUUGAUUGGGUCGCCUUGGCAGUAAAUCUGGCCCAGUUGUUUCCACCUGAGAGAUCUGGAAAGAAUGCAAUGAAAAUGUCGGACUUCUCAAAGUUGCAGGACAAAUGAAGAACCGAAGAAUUUUCACUGAAGAGGGAAGAGCCCAAACACAAUCUGGUGUUUGAACAGACGUCAGUGUUACAGCCAUCAACGUACCUAAACUUUACAAAGCAUCUGGCAGAAAGAGAAGCACUGAAAUUGUCAGAGGAUCUACUCACUACAUCACUGUGGUGACCUGCAGGGAAGCAAUGCACAUGGACUUCCCAACAAUGUCAAGUAGCACGUGACUGCACAAGAUGGGGGAACGUCACCAUAGCCAGCUCUCCAGACCCUCCACAGCCCGCUUUGUGUGAGGCCCACCAACUGGCUCAUAUCACCUUUCUAAUCAAGGCGAAGGACGAAGAAGCAAGAGCUGAAUUCUGAAGCUGAAAAAAAAAAAUUAGAGCAUACAUCACUUUGGAAAUGUGCUUGCUGACUCAGAGUGAUAUGGAGUACGUUCCUUUAGAAGGCCAAAUUUAUGCUCUGGAAGAGGCAGCCGAAGAACCAACGCUGUAAUUUUACGAAACCACAAAAGGCUCCUCCAAAGGGAUCUGACUUGAAUACACACUGCAAGGAAAUUAAUGGUCUCGGUUCAAACAUCCUCUUUAAUCCGUCUCAUUUUGCCUCUCAUAAGGAAGAGAACAAUGCAGUUGUCAGGCUGACUUAGGAGAAGGACAAGUGUUGAGCAACACGCGGUUGGCAGGAGACCAUGCGAGUUCUUUCUGGGGUAUCUCAGUGGCCUUUGGGAGCUGCCAGGGCAGAGAUGUGUUGUGUGUCAUUAUCAAUUUGCACUCUGAUUUCCUAACAGUUCAAGAGGCCUUUUGACAAAAGCCUCCAUUUAGAUCUAAUAAUAACUCUGGAUUUUUGCUAAACGUCUCACAACCUGGGAAGAGGCCCAAUUGCUAAACAUACUUCCACGGCAUGAGUUUCUUUUACUGAGCCCAGAGGGGACAGCCAAGCAGACGAGAAAAUGUGUAUUGGGGAAAUGUUUUCACUUUUAAAAGCUCUUUCCAAAAGGACUAUCUCAGUUCAUUUAUGAAGUCCAUCCGAACAAUUAUCGUAAUUAUGGGUCACGUGGUUGUUGUCCAGUGCUAGCCUGGGAUAAUGGCAGCUAAAAUUCAAUAGCUCCCUAUUUCCUUCUACAUCCUACAAUUAUAAAAUCUAGUGGACUGAACUGACCUACUUCCUUCUACUUGGUCACACAACAGCUCGUCCAUUUCCAGUAAGUUACAAUAGCCAUUGGCACCUCACUACCUUCAGGGGUGUGUUCCACAUGGGGCCAGCCUUUCCUAUUAGAAUGUAUUCUGGUCGUUUCUGUUCAUAUUUCUGCAUGCGAAACCACAGAAAUAUCUCAGCUCUCUCUCGCUCCUAAAAAAAUUCUUGAAUUUAUUCAAAGAGCACAGUAUUUCCUGAGUGUCCCUCUCUCCCAACAAAGUUUUCUUUUCUUCAAGGCAGCUGUCCAAUGUCCCCUUGAAGACUUCUCAAGUGCUAUGAGAGCCCAGCCUUUGCUUGGGGCAAGUCAUGAGGGAGAGUAGGGAGGUGAGUCAGCAGAAAUAGGGGACAGUGUGCUGGUCGGGGGAGUGAGAGGAAGACAGAGUUCAUUUCCAAGAUCAAUAAGCAUAAUUGGUAUGGCUUUGUCAGAAUGGCCUUGGCUGUGUUGCCCCGUCUCACAAAACUUCCUGAAAUGCCCAAGUCAUUCUGUGUUUCUGUCACAGUCCCCGGUCUGGGGUAUAACUUACAUAGAUGCUUUUCGUCUACUGCUGGGGUGUCUUUGGCUCUCAUUCAUUGGCAUGUCCCUCAUGAAACACCGAAGAGGCCCAAGGAAGGAGCAGAUUAAACAAGCUGUCACAAAAGUAUAUAUGUCAAACCACUGUUCUGUUACUUUUAGUAGUUCUUUAAAUGGGCGUUAGCGGAGGACAAAGUUGAAACAAUUGAUUCAAAUUCCGUUGACUGCCUCUUUGGAAAUGCAAUACCUUUCAAAUUAUGUAGGUGAUCCCACCUGCUGGAUACACGAUUGAUGGUGUGGUGCCAGCAUGCUGUAGGUUUUUAUUUUAUUUUACUUUUUUUCAUGUUUAUUUAUUUUUGAGAGACGGAGAGAAAGAGAGCAUGAGUGGGGGAGGGACAGAGAG